UACGUAGGGUGCGAGCGUUAAUCGGAAUUACUGGGCGUAAAGCGUGCGCAGGCGGUUUUGUAAGCCAGGUGUGAAAUCCCCGGGCUCAACCUGGGAAUGGCAUUUGGGACUGCAAGGCUGGAGUGCGGCAGAGGAGACUGGAAUUCCUGGUGUAGCAGUGAAAUGCGUAGAUAUCAGGAGGAACACCGAUGGCGAAGGCAGGUCUCUGGACAGUUCCUGACACUGAGGCACGAAGGCCAGGGGAGCAAACGGG
rnacentral:rRNA from 1 species